rnacentral:lncRNA from 1 species
UUCAGUGUUGAUGCAUUGCCAUGACAGCUUCGAGCAUUUGAAUUUGAAACGCACACACCAUUGUGCAGGGUUCCUGAUGCCUCCUCCUGCUCUUGCCUGACCCCCUGAAAUCUAGGGGGCUCUGAGCUCCACGUGUCUCCGUGUCUCAGAAAGGAAGCCACUGUCCCCCUUCACACUGUGGCCCAGGACAAAGGGUGCCAGAACAGACCAGAACUUGACCUGAAGGCUACAGCCAAGUCCAGGAACAGACCAUGUCUUCUGCUCCUCUAAUGGGACUGACUCUGGCCCUGACUCUGUGGAACCUGUUCCUCAAGCAUCCAUCGCCACAGUCUCUUGACUCUUAGCUCCAGCUCAAAGGAGACAAUUUGAUAGCCAGUGCCCAGUGG